AGGGCACCACCAGGAGUGGAGCCUGCGGCUUAAUUUGACUCAACACGGGAAAACUCACCCGGCCCGGACACUGGAAGGAUUGACAGAUUGAGAGCUCUUUCUUGAUUCAGUGGGUGGUGGUGCAUGGCCGUUCUUAGUUGGUGGAGUGAUUUGUCUGGUUAAUUCCGAUAACGAACGAGACUCUAGCCUAUUGAAUAGAUCGUUGGCUUACAAACGCCGGCGAGACUUCUUAGAGGGACAGGCGGCGAUUCAGCCGCACGAAACAGAGCAAUAACAGGUCUGUGAUGCCCUUAGAUGUCCGGGGCCGCACGCGCGCUACACUGAAGUGAUCAGCGUGCAUUUUGAAACCUACUCUGUCAAGAGUGGGGAACCCAAUGAACCUUCUUCGUGAUUGGGAUAGGGGAUUGUAAUUAUUCCCCUUGAACGAGGAAUUCCCAGUAAGCGCGAAUCAUAAGUUUGCGCUGAUUACGUCCCUGCCCUUUGUACACACCGCCCGUCGCUACUACCGAUUGAAUGUUU
rnacentral:rRNA from 1 species